rnacentral:rRNA from 1 species
UACGUAGGUGGCAAGCGUUGUCCGGAUUUAUUGGGUUUAAAGGGUGCGUAGGCGGUUCUAUAAGUCAGUGGUGAAAUCCGGCAGCUCAACUGCCGAUGUGCCAUUGAUACUGCAGAACUUGAGUACAGACGAGGUAGGCGGAAUUGACGGUGUAGCGGUGAAAUGCUUAGAUAUCGUCAAGAACACCGAUAGCGAAGGCAGCUUACUAGACUGUAACUGACGCUGAUGCACGAAAGUGUGGGGAUCAAACAGG